rnacentral:lncRNA from 1 species
UCCGCUACAAGGUUGGAGCUUUCUGAAACCCUUUUUCGUUUUCUUCAAUCAAUCUAUUGAUUGAUGUUAUGGGUUGAAGGAUGGAUGAUGUGCUCUGGGGUUAGAGCCACUGAAUGUGAGGAUUGAGAAGAAAAUGGAACAGAGAUUGUGGUCAACAUCACUCAUCACGUUACUUUCUGGUUCCCCAACAACAUCUUCCAUUUGAUUAUUCAUCAAACUAGACACACACAGGUCGGUGAAAAGGAUCACUACUUUUUGAUUUAUUUUAUUGUUUUGUUUUGAGGUUUUGGUAUAUACCUGCGCCUGCGUCUGUGGUUUCAGAACAGCAGUACCAAUGAUCCUGUUUUCUGUCUCCGCACGCAGCGAUUACUCAGAAAAGUCAUGUGAUACACUGACAUGACUAGAACAGAAUAUGCCUUCAUUUUUCGUCUUUUUAAUUUGACCAUUAACGCAAAUUUAUGCUUUUAUGCUUCUGUGAUUCAUUUAACAUCUUCUUAGGACAUACAAUAGAGUUUCCAAUUAAUAAUUUUCUGGAGGAAUCUACUGUAACAAAGCUCUAGUGCAUGUUUGAUGCUAAUAAUUAUGUUUCAGGAGAACAAAUAUUUUUAAAAGUUCUUACUUAAUCUCUCUUCUCAACAAGUACUACCACAACAAUUUCUUCUUUAUUUCCUCACCAAAAGUGGAAAAAAAAUAGGAAGGUGGUCUUAAAAGUUUUGGACCAUAUAACUAAAAUAAAUAAAAAGUAAUUUGCCCCAAAUUUAUAAAAAGAGAGAAAGAAAUAUGGAAUGUAAUGUUAAAGUAUAACGUAGUGUGUUUGUUAUAUUGGAUAAAAAUCUUGAUAUUUACACAUGUGAUCAAGAAAAAAAGAUCUGUUGAGAAAUAUGAAGUCCUUAAAUGAAUAAUAAUACAUUUUAAAAUAAGUUACAACCACCCAAAUAUGAGGCAAGCUUUAAUGGAUUUAUUUUUUUUCUAAUGUAAAAUUUUCAGCCAAAUGGAUCUUUAAGGAGAAAAGAAAAUCUUCUAUCUCUUGUGUAGAUUCUUGUUUUUUAAUUACAUAUUUUUGAAAUACAUUCAAAGUUAAUGAGGAAGGUGACGCAUGGAAAGUGGAUGUUUGAAUGUAUAAAUUUGCUAUAAUUGUUGAGUGGAAGAAAAGUAAGAGAAGGUAGGUGUUUCUUGUGGCCUCACUCAUGAAGAGGAAAGAGAU